CCCCGCCUAUCUUCCCCCUCGGGAAGCGGACGGGACUCUCGCCGGCCACACGUGCUAGCGCCGACGCGGGUGGACGCGAGGCCUCGGCCGGGCUUGCGUUUCCGCCAGGACAGAAGGGAGGCGAAGAAGGAGAGCGACUUCCGGCUCGGCUGGCUUCAAACCUAAGACCGGCCGCUCCUCGCCCAGUGGGGAAGAAAACCAGGUGCCGGAGACACGCAUGCGCGCGCCGGUCGGCUUCGGCCACGCGCUUCCAAACCUGCGCGGUGGAAGAACUCGAGGGCGGAGCAUGCGCCCCGACGGCUCCCGGGCCUAGGGCUGGAAGUGUGCGCAGGCGCGGCGCGGGCGCGCGGGAAUCCGGCGGUUUUUGCACGUGGGCCCGCGGACAUGGCAGGCCGGGGCUGUGGGCGACGGUUGCCGGGCGGCCCGGGAGGGUCAGUCUAAUGAGGAGAGUCAGUGGUCAGACUUGGCGAUGAAGAAGCCAGUGGCAUGGAAACACCAGUGGGUGCAGACAGAAAAGCUCCUGAGAAAAUCUUGCUAUCUCCAGCCAAAGGACCAAGGACAAGGGAGCCUCACAAGCCAGGGAACCUGUAUUCCAGUCAGAUAUCCCAGAAAAAACUGUGGCUCCACCCCCAGCCCAGCCUUUCCCCCAGCCAAGACUAAGUGGAGAGCCUAGACCUUCACUCUCACCAGGCUAUAAAGAGUUGUCCCAAAUCGCCCCUUCCUGCCAGAGUAGGAUCAGAGGAGACUGAUCCUACCCCCACCUCCCCAGGCAGUGGAGAUCCUGGGAAGACUGAGCUUACACCUCGACCCAGUGGUAAAGCUGCACAACUCACCUAACUGCUGGGGUGGUAUCAGGAGGCUAACUGGAGACUGAGGAAUUUCGCCAUCUCCCAGCAGCAACAGGGUCACCUCUGCUGUGGUGUCAGUGGACAUCAAUCUCCAAUCUUCACUAUAAGAACCUCAUCGAGCUCCUUGAGGAAGAAGUUGCUGUGGCUGAGGUUGAAGAGGUUGCUG